CUGCUGGAACAUCGUUCUCCAUUGAUAUACAGCCACCUCCUGGACGGGAUGAUAUAGCAGCUGGCAAACAGCAUAGUUUUAGCAAGACAUUGUGUGCCUUAGGGACUCUUCCCCUUCUUCCUCCCCUUCUUUUCAGCCAGCCAGGGGACAGAAGAGGAGAGUGGCAAUCGGCUGGAGGUCAGUGGACCCAAGGUUGAAAGAGGAGAGCAAGCACUGGGGCUGGUGAGGACCAAGCUGCAGCAACCCUGCCUGCUCAAGGCUGGGGCUUCCCAGAAAUAUUGCACCACCAGGCCCUCACUGGAAAGCCUACAGAAAAGCCUUCAGCUGAGGAGCAGCCAGCUCUGCCAGAGUGCCUGCGAGCGAGCGGGAGAAAAGAAGUGGUCAAAUCUGCAGUAAAGAGGAUUACUUAUGAUGGCCUUUUAAAAAAUUACGCACACAAAGGCGUAAAAGGAAGGAUGUACUCUCUUCACCUUUCCCUUCCAAAGGAAUUGACCUUCUUCUAUCCUAGAUUGUAUUUAGCUGAUGUACAUCUUCAGAUGCAAAUAUGAUUUGAUACAAAGCCUGCUGGACUCAGUGGAAGGGUUUCCACUGGCAUCCAUCAGCACUGAGCCAAGUUCAUAUUACUAAUGAAAUUUCCUAGAUAUUAAUAAUAAACAAUAUCAUGAGUGGCAUUGCCUUUGUUAUAGGUCCAGGGACAUAAUAUUAAAUUUGACACUACCUUAGAAUUCCUGAAACUUUGGUCCAGAGGGCUUUCCAUACUUAGCCAUGAAGCUAACUACAAUGAGAAAAAAGCAGCAGGGAAGUGGGCAAAAUGGUGAAAGACUAUUACCCACAUUUUGAACAGAAGCACAAUGAAAGGAAUAGGUUCCACAGAGCAACCGCAAAUUACUUCACCGUGGCCUCACAGAUCAUAACUGGUUUUUGCUGAUGAUUGGGUAUCAACAGCCAAGAAGAUGCAAUAUCAUUAUUAUUCAAAAAUCUGACCCAUGUGAUUUUUACAUAAUGUUAAAAUGGAAAAUUUGAAGAAAAAGUAUUUUGGGUUUUCAUUAAGUUGUUUUUUUUGUUCCUAAAACCCCCCAAAAGGUCUAAAAGUUAAUAUUCAGUUGACUAAUGACUCUUUCAUCCCACCUCCAGACUGAACUUUUGAAGGAAAUAAAAAUGGCAAUUUUUAAAUGAAAUAAUUUAAAAUACUGGGGGGAAAAAAAAAAAAAAAGAGUGGAAUUUUCAUGUCUGAGUGCCAAAACUGAUCAUUUAAACUUUAGAAGCUAAAUUUCACUCAUAGCUUCUGUUCAUUCAAAUUGCAUUUUCUGGGGACUUUCUUGUCAUCAAAAAUGUAAGAUGGGCAUCGAGUGGAUUUAUUAUGCACUACAACAAAUCCAGGUGAGGGCAAUGCUGUGGCUUUGUGUCAGCAGAGCAGGACAGGAGGCACAGAGGAUGCACAUGAA
rnacentral:lncRNA from 1 species